rnacentral:tRNA from 1 species
GGGGGAUUAGCUCAGUUGGCUAGAGCGCUUGAUUUGCAUUCAAGAGGCCGUCGGUUCGACCCCGACAUUCUCCAC